GAUGUGUGGAGAAGCUUUACCGUACACUAAUAUUAACUAUAUGUGUAAGUAAAAGAAGACUUUCACUGUGACCCUGAAAUCUCAUCUUGCUACAUGAAUGAAAUUUGACAAGAAAUUCGAAAUUUGGCAGAUGCAGUAUAUUUUAAAUCCUUAAAGAAAUGAUGAAGACAUCCUGAAACAGAGUUCAACGGACUCCUAAUUAUAAACUCUGAGGCAAAUAUAUACAAUAACAUAUUCUAUUUUAAUAAUUCCUUGUCACCAGCCUUGAUUUUAUCUUCUUUUCUUUUACCUCCCUCUGUGAAGAUUCAUUUGGUAUUUCUUUCAUUCAUUAGACUCCUUUACAUUAGGUAUUUCCAUGUAUUUUACAAUGACACUCUGAACUCCCAUCUCUGCUGAAGAUAAUGUUUAGCUACUAUAUCUAGCACUGGAAGCUAUGGCACCUUCAUUUCUGCUGAUCCUUGUCAGAAAAAAAUUACCAGCCUCAGCCAAGAUGUCAGGGGCUUCAUGUGUGGGUUAGCAGUAAAACACACCCAAUAAAUCACCACCAGUGAACUGUCUAAACAAAUCCUUAUUUCAACCCUUUCCUCCAUCUCUUUUGCCUAUAUCUCUCCCCCAGCACUAAGCCUUCCCAUGGAGUUUUCUGUUCCACGUUAAUAUUCCACAUCACCAAUACAGUCACAUCAGCAGAUGACUUCUAAUGGACCUAUGGGCAGGUGAAUAACCUCCUUGUGGGGCUUGGACUUUGGUAACGCAGUAUAUCCUGGGCCUACAAGACAAAAAGCUUAUUCAACCUGCUCAAACUGUGUCUUCGAAAUACAUUUUAGAGAUUAGAGACUUGACUGAUCAUAGCAUGGCACCCUGCCUCUAGUUCCCAUGACUUUCCAGACAGAAUCUGCCUUCUCUAAAACCUCCAGGUAUUUCUGAUGAAAGCCCCCCUUCUAGUGCCUUCUCUAGAAAGAAAAAGUAAUGAUGCCAUUUGUAAAUACUGAACCUUCAAAUAUCAUAGCUCAGCUUCUAGACAGUUUCAAUGGCUGAAAGUCUUCAUUCUUUUAAAGAUUGCUUUGAACUUUAAAAACAGUUAAAAUUCAUUGGGCAUCAGAUUCAGUAAGGUAUUCGUGGUAUAUUGGGCUAUAUCACUUUUGGCCAAAAAUGAGGUGUUAACCAGAAAGAAAUGAAUCUUUAUUUUCUGCUUCAUAAACUGGCCUGUGAAAGCAAUUCUAAAAUGGGAACUUCAAGUGUACUUGGGCUAAUGAAUCACUGGAACAAAAAGUAUGACUUAUUUGAAAUGACCCUACUGAUUUGGAUGCAUAUGUUCUACUUAGUGUGUUUGUUUUAAAAAUCUAAAAGCAAUAAUGUCAUUUGUCAAUUUACAAUAGUAGCCAAAGGUGAAACACUUCUGAUAUUAUUUCUCUCAGUGCUCUAUGUUUCUGGGUUUAUACUGGAAUCUCUAUAAAGGUACACAAAGCUGACUACAAUGGCAAUGAUAGUCAUCUUAGAAAAUGUACUAAUAGAAAAGCAGAGAUCUGUCUUUAAUGGCCACUUUGAAAGCUGCAUUACGACACUUUCGUUCAGUGUUAAACUGCUUCUUCACAGUGUUCAAAUAUAAUAAAUCAGAGAUUAAAGUCAGGCUUCUGAUGAACUUACGUGGUACAAAAAUAUUAAUAUAUGUUUUUGAAGUUUGAAGACACUAAAACAGUUAAUAAUGUGUGAAAUUCCAUUUGCUCAUGUACCCUUCUUUCCAUAUCUCUUUUACACCCUGUACAAAAAUGACAGUUAAUUAACAACCUAGCCCAAGAGAAGUGUUUCUAGUAAUAAACAAAAGCUAUUGUCAAAGAAUAUGAAAUUUACCAUGACCAGAAAAAAAAGAGUACUUUGCAGACAAAUUAAACAGAAAUCUUGCAAUUAAAAUGCUUAAGCUGAUAUAAAAUAUAUCUGUAAUUGCAUAUUAUAAAGAAUUUAAAUCAAUAAUAAAAAUCCAUAAUGUAUAUGUCUCUGAAAAUGUGCUAAAUGUAUGUGUGUAUCUACACAUACACAAAUAUAUCU
rnacentral:lncRNA from 10 species